GACGAACGCUGGCGGCGUGCCUAAUACAUGCAAGUCGAGCGAAUCAACAGGAGCUUGCUCCUGUUGAUUAGCGGCGGACGGGUGAGUAACACGUGGGCAACCUGCCUGUAAGACUGGGAUAACACCGGGAAACCGGUGCUAAUACCGGAUAAUCUUUUUCCUCUCAUGAGGAAAAACUGAAAGUCGGUUUCGGCUGACACUUACAGAUGGGCCCGCGGCGCAUUGGCUAGUUGGUGGGGUAACGGCUGACCAAGGCGACGAUGCGUAGCCGACCUGGGAGGGGGAUCGGCCACACUGGGAGUGAGACACGGCCAGGCCUCCGCCGGGAGGCAGCGGUAGGGAAUCUUCCACAAUGGACGAAGGUCUGAUGGAGCAACGCUGCGUGAGCGAUGAAGGCCUUCGGGUCGUAAAGCUCUGUUGUUAGGGAAGAACAAGUACCGGAGUAACUGCCGGUACCUUGACGGUACCUAACCAGAAAGCCACGGCUAACUACGUGCCAGCCGCCGCCGUAA
rnacentral:rRNA from 1 species